rnacentral:rRNA from 1 species
UACGGAGAGUGCAAGCCUUAAUCGGAAUUAUUGGGCGUAAAGGGCGCGUAGGCGGGAGAAUAAGUCAGAUGUGAAAUUCCAAAGCUCAACUUUGGAGCCGCAUUUGAAACUAUAAUUCUAGAGGAUUGACGGGGAAAACGGAAUUCCACGUGUAGCGGUGAAAUGCGUAGAUAUGUGGAAGAACACCUGUGGCGAAAGCGGUUUUCUAGUUAAUACCUGACGCUGAGGCGCGAGAGCAAGGGGAGCAAACAGG